CCGAAAGACAGGAAGCGGAGGGAUUUACACAGCUGGGGGCCUAAUCCGGGGCUGCCCGCGGAGGUGCCUGAAAGAAAUGACGUUGGACCAGCGGCCUCUCCAGAUAGCUUUUACGUUGUGAAGAGAUUUUGCUGGUUUCAGUAGUAUCUACCCGCCCCCUCACGUCUAUGGAGACACCGCUGCCGACAACAUUAUUGGG